UGCCGGUGUCCGGAAUCCAAAGAUCUCCGCCAAUGAAUUUAGCAACAGUGAAAGCAUCAGCAUCCUGUGCCGACAAUUUCUUGAUACCCUUCCAUGUAACUCUGUCCUUGGUGACUGAACCAGGUCCUCUAUUUUCGUACUCGGAGUAAGAGAGAGUGUCAAGAGCAAAAGAACCCAUCCAUGGCAACCAUCCCUUUGGGUCAAUCAAAUCAUCGAUUUGACAUUGCAUGUAUACAGUCCUUGAGUACUCUUUCCAUGGGCGACCAAGAUAGGCCUUGUUCUCGAAUCUAACAGGAUAAUACUCUCGGUCUGCGGUGAUAUUGCAGUUUUGGAGAACAAAACCUGUGGCUUCGCGUGAUUCAUUCCUUCCUUGAGCAGUCACAAUGCAAUUUUGAUUUUCCAAUGGCUUCCUGACAACAAUCUUGCAAUUCUGGAAGACUGCGGCGGCGUCACCAAAGAUGAAGUCAAUAGUGCCUGUGAUGGUGCAAUCCCGGUAGAACUGACGGUGGGUGUGAGCAUAAAGGGUAUCUUGGUAGCCAUCCAUUUGGCAAUUGUAGAAAAUAGACAUAUCAGAUUGAACUCUAAGUGCCACAGCUUGGUGUCCAAUAGCUCCUGCUGUGUUCUCAAAGCCAAUGUCCUUGGCUAUGAAGUGGCUUCCACUCACCGCUACAAUAAUUGAUUAAAGCACAUAUAUAUUAUUAAUUAGACAAAUAUUAAAACAAAGAAAAAACAAGGAAUUUAGAUAUUACUACUUACAAACAGUUGAUGUUUUGAAUGUUUGGACACCAGCAGCAUAGUUGAGGUCUCCGGUGAUCUUUGUCUUAGUAGCACCAUCACCGAUCAUCAUAAUAUGGGACAAGCUCCUUGAGAUGGUGACUUGCUGCUUGUAGAUCCCUUUCUUUAUAUAUAUAACAAAUGUUGUGUUUUGCUUCUUGGGAAUCUUGUGAACAGCUUCAUUAAUAGUCUUGUAUUGGCCACUCCCGUCUUUAGCAACAACGAUAUCAGGCUUAAUUGUGUCUGGAGUUUGUGCAAGUAGUCUCCUUUUUUCAUGGGACAACCAGGAAGGAAACUCAGAGUUAUCUUUCAACAGUCUACGUCCUGUAAAUCCUGCAAGGUUCAAAUCCUUAAGCGUGGAAGAGAGACCAGUGAUCAAAGCAAGACCGUUGCUGCUAAGUUGACUAGAAAGAGUUAGGAUUUCCUUCAUUUUGGCUCCGGCUGGACCAGUAGUAUUGUCAAAGCCAUCCAAACAAGUUUGUUGAUAAGUGAUGGUGGCGCUAAGCCAAGUCUUGAGAUUUGCCAGAUACUCAUCCAUUUUAUUAACAUCAAAGUGUUCAACUUCUUCGAAGGAAACCUUGAGAUCAUGAAUGGCGUCGUCCAUUAAUUCUUUGCAAUUAUCAAGCGCUUGUUUUGCCAUUGGAUCUUUUGCUACAUCUUUUAAUGUGGAUGAGUUCUGUAAGGCUUGUUGAAGAGCAUCAAUGGUCACCUGAAAGCCGGCCUGUACAAGCUUGAGAGGAUCGGUGGUGUUUCCUGCGGCUUUGCUAAGACUUUUUCCACAGAUUUCUCUGUAAUCCGUAGGUUGGCAGAUAGCCUGGACUGACUUCGACGACGUGGAUAUUUCGGCCGAAGCGUUUGAGCCAUUUUGGUGGUCGCCGCUGUUGAUUCCAUAUGCCACAGCAAUCACCAUAGCCACCAGAAGAAAUGAUGCGACGCCAAAAAUGGCAUACUUCUUUUUCUUCCCGGUUGGAUCUCCGGCGCCGCCACCAGCCAUCUGCGUUAGUCUUAGUUUAAGCUACAAAACCACCAAUCUUCUUGUUUUUUUUAGGAGAAUAUGAUCAAGAAGAGAAACAAAAUUGGAGGAAAUAAAAACCUAAUCAAUGUUAUUAAGAAGUAUACAGAGCUGUUGGGGCUUUAAGAUUAUUGAAUAAAUGCCCCGAAGCUCUGACUUGGGAAAACAAAGCAUAGAGAAACCCUUUAUAUAUGAAGUGAAAUUCUAAAAAACUGUUAUUUCUGUUACAAAUUUGUGGGGUGUGGAAGAGACUUUACUAAAAUUAGGGUAAUUUUUUCCGAUAAUAAUAGUACUUUUAAAACAAUGUUUAUUUCUUCUUUUAUUACUCAAUCAAUAAAAUAAUAAUAUUUGAUUUCUUAUUUAAAUUCAAGAAUAAUAAUAUCUAUAUAAAUAUUUUUAUGAUUUCUUUUUGUCUAAAUUGACUCAAAUUAAAAUUUUGAAGAUUGAAAAAAUUAAUAAAUUAGUUAUAAUUUCAUUUAUACAAAUUGCCUAUUUUUAUUUGAGAAAUAUUAUAUAUCUAAUAUAUUCAAAUUAAAAGAUAUUAUUUUGUAUAUUCGAAUUAAAAAAAUUUAUAAAUGGAUAAAAUAUUAAUUUUUACUCAAAAUAACGAGUUGUAAAAUUAUAAUGAGUAACUUACUUAAAGAUAAUAAACACAACACUAAUUUUAACCUUUGCUAUAUAUUUAGAUGUAUAUAUCACUUAGUAUAAAUGUAAAAAAAAAAAAAAAAAAAAAGUUCUUAUUGUCUUUAAUAUUUUAUGUACUUUUUUUUAACUAAUUAUGAAUAUAGAUUGUCAUUGAUGAUUAUUUAAAUAAUAAAUUAAUGAUGAAAUUAAUUUCAUCAAUAAUUUUAUUAAUUAUUGUUUUUUUUUAAUAUUUUAAAUUAUUAUAGGUUGAAAAUAAAAUUUUGUUGUUAAAAAAUUUAUAAUAAAGUGUUUCCAAGUAAGACAAAAAUGAACAUAUAUGGAUUUUCAGUUGGAAAAAUAUAUUUGUAUUUGUAUAAUAAUAAAUAUUUUAUCAAAACUCUACUAGAAGUAUUAUUAUCAAAUUGUACUGAAAAACUAUUAUGCUUUAUUACAUAAUUACAUGUAUAUGGCAAAAUUAAUAUAGUAUUCAGAAUGUGGUUUACAAGUUAAAUUAUUAUGUAUGAAGUCAACAAAUAUAAAGUAUUAUACAUAAAAUUUUAUUAUAAAAUGUCAAAUUCCAUUGUACCAUGGCAUAAUUUUAAAAUUAUAUUUAUAAAUAUAUAAUUUAUGAUAAUUAACCCACGCAUCGCGCUGGCUGGUGAGGUAAUAUAUAAUAAAGUAAAAACCAAAAUUUACAAUUAUAACCCUAUUUUAAUUUAAGUUCAUUCAGUUGUAAAAGCAGGUCGCACAAGCUAUAAGUGAUUUUUUUUUUUUUUUUUUUUUUACAAGUGUAAUUUUGAAAGCAGCUGAAUGAAUUAGAUGAAUUAUAUGUAUAAUUCAUAGUAAAAAUUUACUAUUUUAUGAAAUAAAGUUUAUAUAUCUACAUUUUCAAAUAUUAUUAAUUUGAAAAAAAUAAAAUAAACGAUUAAUUAUGUGUUUCAAACUCUUAUUUUUAAUUUUUUACCAAUGUAUGUUAUACAUUGAAUAUUUAUUUUAACUUUUACGUAUGCAAAAUAUAAGAUUAUUCAUUAAACAUAAUUUUAAUUAAAAAAUUUCAAUGUUAGAUACGUAUGUAAGAAUGGUUUAUUAAUUUUUUAAAGCCAAGCUAGGUUUUAUCGACUCUAUUUUCAUCUUUUUUUUUAAUUUUAUUUUUUAUUAAACUGAUUUCCAUCUUAUGUCCAAUUUUUACAUCUUUACUAUAUAUAUGUUUUUUAUUUCUAAUAUGAUUAAGUGAUUUUAAGAAUUAUUCUCUCCAAUUUUUAACUUUAUAAAUUGGAAAAAAUAAAUAUAUACUACACUCUACAUAAUUCACUGCUUAGAAAUUAAGCCAACAAAUUGUGUGAGCAUGAAUAUUAUUUUUUUAAUUAGUUAUUUCAACUUAAUUGUCAUGGUUAAAUUUGAUUCAUCCUUAUAAAUAUCAAAAUUUUCAUCCUAACAUAAAAUUUUUAAUUAUUGUAAAUUAAAUUUAUUUUUUUGUAUUAAUAUUAAAAAUAAUUUACCGUAACAUUACGCGGUUCUAUCUAGUCGUAUUAACAAUAAUAAUAAUCCCAAAUCAAUAAGCACGGGUAAAGAAUGUUUGACAUUGUCUCAGUUCAACGGGGACAGAUUUUUUUUAAAUAUUUUCAAUUUAUCUUUUUUUUUAAUGAAUAAUUAUAAAUACUUAUAAUUAUUUUUCAUUAGUUUAGUUUGUUUUUUAAAAAUAUUUUUAAUUUAUUAUUUUUUCUAAUGAUUAGAAAUAUCUAUAUUUGAUCAGAUAAUUAUUCUUAUUAGUUUAAUUUAUGUAAAGAACUAUAGAUGGGUCUAGACAAAUUAAUUCCAGUAAAAUGAGGAAAAAUAAAAAAAAAGGCCAAAAAGCUUUUUAAUUUCUUUUUUUUUUUUUUUUUUUUUUUAAAUACGGCUUUGGCAAGCAGCGGUACAACUUAACAUAAAAACUACUACAAUCAAUAAAUUUCGCUCUCCUCCUUAAUAGGUCUCCUUUAUACGUUCAUCAUUCCAGAAGCAUAACUGACGCCGGUUGCCGGAAUCCAAAGAUCUCCGCCAAUGAAUUUAGCAACAGUGAAAGCAGCAGCAUCCUGUGCCGACAAUUUCUUGAUACCCUUCCAUGUAACUCUAUCCUUGGUGACUGAACCAGGUCCUCUAUUUUCGUACUCGGAGUAAGAGAGAGUGUCAAGAGCAAAAGAACCCAUCCAUGGCAACCAUCCCUUUGGAUCAAUCAAAUCAUCGAUUUGACAUUGCAUGUAUACAGUCCUUGAGUACUCUUUCCAUGGGCGACCAAGAUAGGCCUUGUUCUCGAAUCUAAC
rnacentral:lncRNA from 1 species